GGUCCUUGUAUGUGGCUUCUAGUAAAUAUACUUCAUACCCUGAUCUCUGCAAUAAAGCAAAUGACAAUGAAUCAAGGAGGAAACAAUGAACCGGACUACUUCACUACAUCAUGACCUUAAAGAGUGUAACUGAAAAACAAAAGAUCAACAGAUGAAUGAAGGAAGAGUACAAGCGACACAAAGAAGCUAACAUCUCAAAGAAAUAAUGAAAAGUUAAAAUAAAAAAGCAUACCACAAGGGUUCCUGGAAGAUAUAUGGGAAUUCUUAAAAAAGGUUUACAUUACAUGUCUCCUCUAUCAGUGAUGAGGAGAUGCUUCAAAUGGAAAAGUGGAACCAAAACAUAAUGCAACAAACUUGCAAGUCUCACAAGCUCAAAUGGAAAAGUGGAACCAAAACAUAAUGCAACUAACUUGCAAGUCUCACAAGCUUCAAAAGGAAAACUAGGGUUUUAACAGGAAUUAGCCUAAGAUCAGACAAAUCUAUAUGAGUAAUGAUAAUAGAAACUUGAUAUCAAAACUGUAAGCAACAUAUGAAUUAUGAUACAAAAUCAGCAUUCCCAUAUUCAUUCAAGCUACACUAAAGAAAGA